rnacentral:rRNA from 1 species
GACGAACCGUGCGAACGUUGUUCGGAUUCACUGGCUUAAAGGGCGCGUAGGCGGAAGGUCAAGUCCGAGGUGAAAUCUUUCGGCUCAACCGGAAAAGUGCCUUGGAUACGGAUCUUCUCGAGGGAGGUAGGGCAUGUGGAACUCCGGUGGAGCGGUGAAAUGCGUAGAUAUCGGGAGGAACGCCGGUGGCGAAAGCGACAGACUGGGCUUGGCCGACGCUCAGGCACGAAAGCCAGGGAGCGAACGGG